rnacentral:rRNA from 1 species
UAGGGAAUAUUGGUCAAUGGGGGCAACCCUGAUCCAGCCAUGCCGCGUGAGUGAAGAAGGCCCUCGGGUUGUAAAGCUCUUUUGUCCGGAAAGAAAAGCAUUCGGUGAAUACCCGGAUGUUCUGACGGUACCGGAAGAAUAAGCACCGGCUAACUUCGUGCCAGCAGCCGCGGUAAUACGAAGGGUGCAAGCGUUACUCGGAAUUACUGGGCGUAAAGCGUGCGUAGGUGGUUGUUUAAGUCUGAUGUGAAAGCCCUGGGCUCAACCUGGGAAUGGCAUUGGAAACUGGGCAGCUAGAGUGCGGUAGAGGGUAGUGGAAUUCCCGGUGUAGCAGUGAAAUGCGUAGAGAUCGGGAGGAACAUCUGUGGCGAAGGCGACUGCCUGGACCAGCACUGACACUGAGGCACGAAAGCGUGGGGAGCAAACA